GGAGGAGUGGCUGAGUGGUUUAAAGCGGCGGUCUCGAAAACCGUUUCCCGAUGACCUCGGGACGGGGGUUCGAAUCCCUCCUCCUCCG
rnacentral:tRNA from 1 species